rnacentral:lncRNA from 1 species
AAGGCCCCACCCCCACAGACUUAAGUGAAGACCCGCAUUCCUACUUUCUAUCCCAAAUGUUGCGUUUUCUAAGACCACUCUGGCCCGCCAUACCUCCAUCCUGGGCCUAUAAAAAUCCGAGACCCUAGCAAGACAGAAACGGAAGCUGCUGGACGACGAGAUGAAAAUAUCGGCCAAAGAAGACAAGCCACCGGACAUUGAGAGGACAUCGAGGGGAGCCCCCGCUUGUCGCACGCCCUGCCACAGGGAUGAGGGAACCUCUCCAGUUUCAAUAUAUGGAGUUUUGCUCUUGUUGCAUAGACUGGAGUGCAAUGGCGUGAUCUCGGCUUACCCCAACCUCCACCUCCUGGGUUCAAGCUAUUCUUCUGCCUCAGCCUUCCGAGAAGCUGGGAUUACAGAGUCUUGCUCUGUUGCCCAGGCUGAAGUGCAGUGGUGCUAUCUCAGCUCACUGCAACCUCUGCCUCCG